rnacentral:rRNA from 1 species
GACGAACGCUGGCGGCAUGCUUAACACAUGCAAGUCGAACGGAAAGGCCCUGCUUUUGUGGGGUGCUCGAGUGGCGAACGGGUGAGUAACACGUGAGUAACCUGCCCUUGACUUUGGGAUAACUUCAGGAAACUGGGGCUAAUACCGGAUAGGAGCUCCUGCUGCAUGGUGGGGGUUGGAAAGUUUCGGCGGUUGGGGAUGGACUCGCGGCUUAUCAGCUUGUUGGUGGGGUAGUGGCUUACCAAGGCUUUGACGGGUAGCCGGCCUGAGAGGGUGACCGGCCACAUUGGGACUGAGAUACGGCCCAGACUCCUACGGGAGGCAGCAGUGGGGAAUAUUGCACAAUGGGCGGAAGCCUGAUGCAGCAACGCCGCGUGCGGGAUGACGGCCUUCGGGUUGUAAACCGCUUUCGCCUGUGACGAAGCGUGAGUGACGGUAAUGGGUAAAGAAGCACCGGCUAACAACGUG